rnacentral:piRNA from 1 species
UAAGAAAAGCCCAUAUGGUUAAGGUC